rnacentral:rRNA from 1 species
GAUGAACGCUAGCGGCAGGCCUAAUACAUGCAAGUCGAACGGGAUUAAGAGGCUUGCUUCUUAUGAGAGUGGCGCACGGGUGCGUAACACGUAUGCAACCUACCUUCAACUGGGGGAUAGCCUUCCGAAAGGGAGAUUAAUACCGCAUAAAAUAAUUGAGUGGCAUCACUUGCUUAUCAAACGUCAGGGUUGAAGAUGGGCAUGCGCCCGAUUAGUUUGUUGGUGAGGUAACGGCUCACCAAGACUACGAUCGGUAGGGGAUCUGAGAGGAUGGCCCCCCACACUGGUACUGAGACACGGACCAGACUCCUACGGGAGGCAGCAGUAAGGAAUAUUGGUCAAUGGACGGAAGUCUGAACCAGCCAUGCCGCGUGCAGGAAGACGGUCCUCUGGAUUGUAAACUGCUUUUGUUAGGGAAGAAACUUCCGUACGUGUACGGGACUGACGGUACCUAAAGAAUAAGGAUCGGCUAACUCCGUGCCAGCAGCCGCGGUAACAC